rnacentral:rRNA from 1 species
AUUGAACGCUGGCGGCAGGCCUAACACAUGCAAGUCGAACGAGUGGCGGGCGGGUGAGUAAUGUCUGGGAAACUGCCUGAUGGAGGGGGCUAAAUACUGAAACAGGUAGAUAAUACCGAAUACCAGCAUAUGUGCCCAACUGGGCGUCGCUUGUGGGUGGUGUAACGGCACAACACGGCGACGAUCCCUAGCUGGUCUGAGAGGAGGACCAGCCACACUGGAACGGAGACACGGUCCAGACGCCUACGGGAGGCACAAGUGGGGAAUAUUGCACAAUGGGCGCAAGACUGAUGCAGCCAUGCCGCGUGGAUGAAGAAGGCCUUCGGGUUGUAAAGUACUUUCAGCGGGGAGGCGUUACCCGCAGAAGAAGCACCGGCUAACUCCGUGCCAGCAGCCGCGGUAAUUC